rnacentral:misc_RNA from 1 species
CUGAGUUCUAUAACUCCCACCCUAUGUGAACAUACUACAGUUGCCUCGGCGGGGUGCUACACCCCGCCGGCGGACCAUUAAACUCUGUUUUAUCCACUGUAUCUCUGAAUUUAAUAACGAAAUACGUUA